GAUGAACGCUGGCGGCGUGCCUAAUACAUGCAAGUCGAGCGAACGGACGAGAAGCUUGCUUCUCUGAUGUUAGCGGCGGACGGGUGAGUAACACGUGGAUAACCUACCUAUAAGACUGGGAUAACUUCGGGAAACCGGAGCUAAUACCGGAUAAUAUUUUGAACCGCAUGGUUCAAAAGUGAAAGACGGUCUUGCUGUCACUUCUAGAUGGUUCCGCGCUGCAUUAGCUAGUUGGUAAGGUAACGGCUUACCAAGGCAACGAUGCAUAGACGACCUGAGAGAGUGAUAGGCCACACUGGAACGGAGACAGGGUCAAGACUACUACGGGAGGCAGCAGUAGGGAAUCUUCCGCAAUGGGCGAAAGCAUGACGGAGCAACGCCGCGUGAGUGAUGAAGGUCUUCGGAUCGUAAAACUCUGUUAUUAGGGAAGAACAGAUGUGUAAGUAACUGUGCACAUCGUGACGGUACCUAAUCAGAAAGCCACGGCUAACUACGUG
rnacentral:rRNA from 1 species